rnacentral:piRNA from 1 species
GUGUAUAGGGAUUAAGAACUUGA